AUACAGAGGGUGCGAGCGUUAAUCGGAAUUACUGGGCGUAAAGCGCGCGUAGGCGGCUACCUAAGUCAGAUGUGAAAUCCCCGGGCUCAACCUGGGAACUGCAUCUGAUACUGGGUAGCUAGAGUUUUGGAGAGGGAAGUAGAAUUUCAGGUGUAGCGGUGAAAUGCAUAGAGAUCUGAAGGAAUACCAGUGGCGAAGGCGACUUCCUGGCCAAAAACUGACGCUGAGGUGCGAAAGCGUGGGUAGCAAACGGGAUUAGAAACCCUAGUAGUCC
rnacentral:rRNA from 1 species